GACGAACCGAGCGAACGUUGUUCGGAAUCACUGGGCUUAAAGGGCGCGUAGGCGGGCCGCCAGGUCCGCGGUGAAAUCCCCCGGCUCAACCGGGGCAGUGCCGCGGCGACCGGAGGCCUGGAGGCGGGUAGGGGCGUGCGGAACACCGGGUGGAGCGGUGAAAUGCGUUGAUAUCCGGUGGAACUCCGGUGGCGAAGGCGGCACGCUGGACCCGACCUGACGCUGAGGCGCGAAAGCCAGGGGAGCGAACGGG
rnacentral:rRNA from 1 species